AUUGAACGCUGGCGGCAGGCUUAACACAUGCAAGUCGAACGAGUGGCGGACGGGUGAGUAAUGCUUGGGAAUCUGGCUUAUGGAGGGGGAUAACUAAGGGAAACUGUAGCUAAUCCCGCGUAACAUAGGAUGAGCCCAAGUGGGAUUAGGUAGUUGGUGAGGUAAAGGCUCACCAAGCCGACGAUCUCUAGCUGGUCUGAGAGGAUGACCAGCCACACUGGGACGGAGACACGGCCCAGACUCCUACGGGAGGCAGCAGUGGGGAAUAUUGCGCAAUGGGGGCAACCUGACGCAGCCAUGCCGCGUGAGUGAUGAAGGUCUUCGGAUCGUAAAACUCUGUUAUUAGGGAAGCGGUACCUAUUCAGAAAGCCACGGCUAACUACGUGCCAGCCGCCGCGGUAAUUC
rnacentral:rRNA from 1 species